GCAAUACUAAUGUUGUUACAGAUCACGUUAGCAGCGGUGGGGAUGUGAGAAGUUACAAAGGAAGGUUUAACCACUCGUUUUCAAGGACUGGACAUUCAAGGAUAAUGAGUUACUGAUAUUUCACAUAACACUUGACUGCAAGGAUUGGGGGAGCCACAGUCAGGGGCAGAGAAUCAGCACAAUUCCUGAACACCGCCCUUCUCAUCGAAUGGAGCCAAGAUGUCCACAGAAGAGUGCAUUUCUGGAGCAAAGCCAAUCCAUCAAUCACUUUCUGGAGACUCUAUCCUGCUGGUGGUCCCGGGCUGUCCACAAAACCUAGCUGAACAUGAGCCUAUGGAGCAGGCCAGGAAGUGGUGUUCUUCCACGGUGUCUGCUACAGUUCUUUUUCAAGUUCCUGCCCUGACUUCCAUCAAUGACCACAGUGUAAACCAAAUAAAUCCUUUCCUUCUCAA